rnacentral:lncRNA from 1 species
UGAGGGGUAAGCAGCUCCCGGGAGCCCUUCAAAUCAUUCCCAGAGGCAGCUGCCUGUGCAGAAGGCUGGGGCUGACGCCGCGCCAAGAGUGGAGGGCUCUGCGGGCUCCAGAGCCUCUCGCCGGGAAGCUGCUCCCCAGGCACCCACCCACGCGCACACGGCCCUCAGGAGCCCUGGCGGAGGGCGGGCUGGGUGUGCACAUGCGUGUGUGUGUGUCCAAGAGUGUGCGCGGAAACGCUAAGUGACUUGUACAAGCUCAUCCUGCAGGAGAAGAUAGCUGGAUUCCCAUAUCUGCUUCUGCAUCCAGUCUGUUGUGAUAUCACGUGUCAUGUCGCCUCUGGAAAGUGCCACUCUACACUUAGAAGUUCAAGAAUGAGAAGAAAAAGGCGGAUAAUGUCUCAGUGUUAUUAUGAAAAUAUUUUUGACCUUGUGGAUCCCCCAGGGAUUCCUUGGCCACACUUUGAGAACUGCUGCACUAUGCCAUUAAUGUUCAUUGAUGACACAUCAAUAUACACAAUGUAUCACCACUACACAUUUUAUAAAGUCUCAGGCAUAUUCAAGGCUGUAUAUCAAAUACAUUGACUCAGCCCCUGUGGAAUACAGGAAGGGAAUGGGAUAAAAGGGGGAAUGAAAUAAAUAAGAUAAAGCAAGAAAGAAUCUG